AGCGAACGCUGGCGGCAGGCUUAACACAUGCAAGUCGAGCGGGCACUUUCGGGUGUCAGCGGCGGACGGGUGAGUAACGCGUGGGAACGUGCCCUCUGGUUCGGAAUAACUCAGGGAAACUUGAGCUAAUACCGGAUACGCCCUUUUGGGGAAAGGCUUGCUGCCGGAGGAUCGGCCCGCGUCUGAUUAGUUAGUUGGUGAGGUAACGGCUCACCAAGGCGACGAUCAGUAGCUGGUCUGAGAGGAUGAUCAGCCACACUGGGACUGAGACACGGCCCAGACUCCUACGGGAGGCAGCAGUGGGGAAUAUUGGACAAUGGGCGCAAGCCUGAUCCAGCCAUGCCGCGUGAGUGAUCAAGGCCUUAGGGUUGUAAAGCUCUUUUAUCCGGGACGAUAAUGACGGUACCGGAGGAAUAAGCCCCGGCUAACUUCGUG
rnacentral:rRNA from 1 species